CCACCACUUAAACGUGGACGUACUUGCUUUGGAAGCGAGAAAGUAAGUGCUUCCAUGUUUCGGUGAUGG
rnacentral:pre_miRNA from 13 species